GACUGGUUUUAUGACAUAUCUUAGUCCUAAGUGGGUUUCACAAAGUGGUCCUAACUUAGGACAUCUCUUAAAGUUAGUCAUAAAGUUAGGACUACACGAGAGGUGUCUUAUGAUGGUCUUAGGAUAGUCAUACGUUUAUUUAUAUAAUUUACACUUAUUUUAUAUAUUAAUUUUGCAAAUUGUUUAUCUAUUAUCUAAUUAGCAAAUCUCCCUUUACUGCUCUUAAAUAAUUCUGUACAGGUUGACAAAUUAUCAACAAUGA
rnacentral:lncRNA from 1 species